rnacentral:sRNA from 1 species
UAAGAAUAUGCUCUUUUCUUGAAUAACCC